GCCCGUUAGUUGCUUUUCUCGAGGACAGGGCAGUUUUUACUCUGGUGAGGCUGUUUGGGAGCCCAGCAAGGGAAGAUCUGGAACGUUCUCAUCUCCAUUGUGGGCAAAGUGCCUGGAUCCGGAGCCUGGCUACGGUCGAGAAGGAAAGGGGAACCAGAUGAAGUCACGAGGGCAGAUUUAGCGACACGGGCAAACGGCGGAGCCCCUGUGCACCCGAAAUCCCGGUUCCUCGUUCUCACACGCGCGUGCGCACCCGCCUGACUCCUCUAUCCUCCAGCCGACCUUUUAAAAACAGUUCAGGAGGGCCCUGGGUGGCGCAGUCGGUUAAGCGUCCGACUUCAGCCAGG